CAUUUUUGCAAUGAUGAUAAAUGUGAUACCCAGCUCAUUAUGAGACCCUUUUUAUUUUUAAGGUCUGGGAGUAGACUCUGUCCACAUAUUUAUCUGAGCCCAGUU